rnacentral:rRNA from 1 species
GUGCCAGCAGCCGCGGUAAUACCGGCAGCACGAGUGAUGGCCGCUAUUAUUGGGCCUAAAGCGUCCGUAGCCGGCCGGGCAAGUCCGUCGGGAAAUCCACCCGCUUAACGGGUGGGCGUCCGGCGGAAACUGCUCGGCUUGGGACCGGAGGACCCGAGGGGUACGUCCGGGGUAGGAGUGAAAUCCCGUAAUCCUGGACGGACCGCCGAUGGCGAAAGCACCUCGAGAGGACGGACCCGACAGUGAGGGACGAAAGCCAGGGUCUCGAACCGGAUUAGAUACCCGGGUAGUCC